rnacentral:rRNA from 1 species
CCUACGGGAGGCUGCAGUGAGGAAUAUUGGUCAAUGGGCGUCAGCCUGAACCAGCCAAGUCGCGUGAGGGAUGAAGGUUCUAUGGAUCGUAAACCUCUUUUAUAAGGGAAUAAAGUGUGGGACGUGUCCUGUUUUGUAUGUACCUUAUGAAUAAGAUCGGCUAACUCCGUGCCAGCCGCCGCGGUAAUACGGAGGAUCCGAGCGUUAUCCGGAUUUAUUGGGUUUAAAGGGUGCGUAGGCGGCCUUUUAAGUCAGCGGUGAAAGUCUGUGGCUCAACCAUAGAAUUGCCGUUGAAUCGGGGAGGCUUGAGUAUGUUUGAGGCAGGCGGAAUGCGUGGUGUGGCGGUGAAAUGCUUAGAUAUCACGCAGAACCCCGAUUGCGAAGGCAGCCUGCCAAGCCAUGACUGACGCUGAUGCACGAAAGCGUGGUGAUCAAACAGGAUUAGAUACCCCAGUAGUC